CUAAUACAGAGUGUAGUGCAAGUAAGAUCUGUAAUUUCUAAUUAAAACACUAAGGUCAAAAGUAAACACAAGUAAAAUAAUAUCCCUAAAGGCGGUGAGUAACAGAAAAAUGCAGUGAAAAUGAGUUCUUAUUAUUAGACAAACUAAUUCUUCCCUUUGUCACUUCCUGUUAGUUUAUAUGACGAUUACUCCGAGUCGGUCCCAUUUGGUUUCAAAGAAUAUUACAAGGACGAGCGCGUGAAGUAUAAACGCCUCGCCAGGUGGUAGGUUUGAGCUAUAUGGCGGUAGGUUGGCGGUAUAUGGCGGCAGAUAGAGUUCGACGUCGAUGAAGGUCUUCUUCGCUUAGCCCCUUCCUAGCUCGCGGUACGGAGCCAGGCAAAAGUCUUAAGGUAACCCUUAGGCCGGUUGGCUCAGAUAGUUAGAUCGUGGUGCUAUUAACGCCAAGGUCACGGGUUCGAUCCCCGUACGGGCCAUGAGAUGCUUUGAUCUUCAGACAAAUUCACUGACAAGCCAACACCAUGCUUGACUACCUCCAGCAAUAGCCAAGCAAACACUGAUUUGUGCGAGGCAACGCCUUUUUAAGCCUCUACGGUUUGUGGCUCCUUGCUUCCUUUAAAUUUAUUAUUUUUUUCUUUCAGGUGGCAGGUGGAGUUAGACGGCAAUAGGUAACCAUAGAGAAAGCCAGAUGGCGCAAAAUUCAGGAAUUUUUAAAAAAUAUAUAUAGUUAAUUCUAUUUCCUUUUGUACAUGAAGUUGAAAGUACAAAGCUAUAAAAUAAAUAAAAUAAAGCUCAAGCUGACAGGUUUUCUUUUGGGUUGCACCAUGUAUUCAUUCAUCAGUAUCUUCACAAAUAAACCCAGUCACUACACAUUAAGACGGUGAUUAAACCUCAUUCUUUUGUCUUUACAAAUAGAGAUAUUUACAUGGAUGGGCGGCCAUUCAGAGUGAUCAUUCUGUAAUAUCUUUCUUUUAUCUCUAUAGAUAAAGAGAUAGUUGCAUUGCUGGGCGAACAUUAUCACCUGAUUUUGUGAGAAAUGACAUUUGCAGGAAACACCCACUUUUUGCAAACGUCUGCUGUAAUUGCUAACAUUUAAACAUUCAGCCUACAAUAAAUAAUAAGUCUAUUCAAUGAAAGUAAAGGUCAGUGUUUAAUCAAAAAUGUUAAAGAAAUGAAUGAAAUAAUAAUUUAAAAAAAUUGGUUGAUCAAUUUAGUUUAAUACAGGUUCUCAUAUUCAUGGCUUUAUUUUCCUGUAAGGUGACAAGUGAUAAUCUC
ensembl:lncRNA